CGCAUCUGUGCAUGCAGCAUAUCAAUAAGCGGAGGAAAAGAAACUAACAAGGAUUCCCCUAGUAACGGCGAGUGAAGCGGGAAGAGCUCAAAUUUGAAAUCUUAAAGGGUUUCCCUUUACGAAUUGUAGUUUAAAGAAGUGUUUUCUGUUGAGGUUUUGGUAAAAGUUCUUUGGAAUAGGACAUCAUAGAGGGUGAGAAUCCCGUAUUUGACCUUUACUUUCAACUUUGUGAUACACUUUCAAAGAGUCGGAUUGUUUGGGAAUGCAGUCCAAAAUGGGUGGUAAAUUUCAUCUAAAGCUAAAUAUUGGCGAGAGACCGAUAGCGAACAAGUACCGUGAGGGAAAGAUGAAAAGAACUUUGAAAAGAGAGUUAAACAGUACGUGAAAUUGUCAAAAGGGAAGCGUUUGACACCAGUGUUGUUUUUCUGAAAAUCAAUUAAAGAACUGUUUAUGCUAAGCUGUUUAGACUUUAUCAGCUAACUGUUUAGUUUUGAGCUUUUCUUUAAUGCACUUUUCAGUUAACAAGUCAACAUCAAUUUCUUUUGCUGUAAAAAAGCUUGAGGAAGGUGGCUUGAGAUUCGUCUUAAGUGUUUAUAGCCUCUUGCCUAUGCAGUCGGAGAGAUUGAGGUCCUGCAGCGUAGAUCCUUCGGGGCUAAAUGCAUUUGUGCUAAGUUAUAGCAUUUUAUAGACAACUUGUUGACUAUAAUUAGUCUUGUAGCUUACUCGCUUAUGCUAUUUUACCUACGCUUAGGAUGUUGAUAGUCACAGCGUGUAC
rnacentral:rRNA from 1 species